rnacentral:sRNA from 1 species
UAGAUAAUUUUCAAAUCACUGUAACAAAAUGCAUGAAGAACAAGCUUGUUUAUUUUAAUGUUGCUGAGCGGGAAAGAGUUGAACAAGAGUUGGGACUGUUUCUUGAAUCUGCUGCCUAUCAAUCCUGUUCCCAGCUCUGAGGAAACUGGUCUGUAGCAGGAAUCCUGUGCAGAAUGAACACCUCACUGGACACAUGCACCCGCUGCCACCUCACUACCCAGGAGAUCCGCUGCACUGUUAGUUUCUGUUCUUGAGCUGUAGUUCUCUCCUGACUCAAGAGAUGAAAACUGCUUCUACUAAAGAAGGAAACAUUCUGAAGAGCAAUGUACAUUACAUCACACACAUCAGCUCCAUGGCCUCUGGUCUUUUCCCAUUGGUGUUUGAAAUGCAGAAAUGCUACAUUUCAAUUAUGCUGGGUAUCUAAUACAGUGAAGGUAAAGACUUCCAGCAAUGAGGAACAGCUGUCACUCUAACCGAUUACUUUGAUUUGCUUGGACAUAUUACACACUACUCCUUAAAAUUAGGGAGGAGCACACAAGUUACAAAAGGUCUCUCCUUGAGGGCCAGAAGGCAUAAGAAGUCCCCAUCAUUGCUACUGACAAACAACCUGAGGUUACACUGUGUUGCCUUCUUAGAUGCAACUUAGAAAAGGAAGGAGAAGUGACUCUUGAUACAAGGCACCGCCAUGAAGUCUGAUUCAUCUAAAUUGUCUCCACUUUUAUUUCCAAGGACGAAUUAUUACAUAGACUACACUAAGUAGGCAAAGGAGAGAGAGUGGUGUAUAUGUGAAAAAGAAGCCAUAUAAAUAUUUAUGAUGUAUUUCUUUAAAAAUCAUUCUCGAAAUUACAUGGAGUAUUUUUGUUCCGUUUUUAUAGCACAUAUUAUAACUACUAACAUAAAAAGAUGAACUUGGAAAGAACAUUUGGUAAUAAAUAACAAAUAUCCUAGUUUCACAAAGGAGGAGACAGAAGUGAAAAUCCAGAUCCGAUGACUCUCCCAAGGACACACAGUUGGCUGAUGGCGCAGGAUUGGACCAGACAUAAUUUCCACUUCUCAGCGCCAAGUCUUACGUUCUUCCUGUGCGCAUGCACACUAUUCAGAUAAUUACGGUUGUGCUGGACAGUUUUAUGUCAACUUGACACAAAUUAAAAUCAUCUGAGAAGGGUACCUCAGUCAAGAAGUACCCUAAGUAGGCUGUGAGCAAGCCUACAGAACGUUUUCUUGGCCGCGCGCCAUGGUAGCAAGCCAGUGAGCAGCACCCGUCCAUCCAUGGCCCCUGCGUCAGCUCCUGCCUCCAG